rnacentral:rRNA from 1 species
UAUAUACUAGGUUUAUUCUGCUCAGUGAAGCUCUGUCAUUUUCAACAGCCGCAGUAAUCUGACUGUGCUAAGGUAGCAUAAUAAAUUGGCCUUUAAUUAGGGUCUAGAAUGAAAGGAAAUAUAAUGGAAGCUGUCUCAGGAAAACAUUAUUCUUAAUUUACUCAUAAGGUGAAAAUUCCUUAAAUACCCUGAAGAAAGACGAGAAGACCCUUAGAACUUUAAUUAGCCAAGUAGAAUAAAUAGUUACUCCUCUAUUUUUGUUGGGGCGACAAGUAAUCAAGUAAACAUUACUUCGAGUAUUUAAUUUUUACAAGACUAUGCUUUAAUUAGUAAGACUAAGUUACCUGAGGGAUAACAGCAUAAUAUUUACAAUGAUUGUGACCUCGAUGUUGGACUAGGGAAAUAAUAGGCCAGCCGUCUAUUAUUGUAGUUCUGUUCGAACUUCACAC